AUUAGAUACCCUAUUAUUUUUAAUGUAAAAUUUUAAAUCAGAGUAUUAGUAGUUAUGAUCUUGAAACUUAAAGAAUUUGGCGGUAUUAUAAUCUAUUUAGAGGAAUCUGUUAUCUAAUCGAUGAUCCACGUUGAACCUUACUUAUAUUAUUUCUUGUAUACCGCUGUUUAAGAAUAUACUUUUAGGUAAUUUUCUAAAUAUUUAAUUAGUUAAUAUUUCAAGUCAAGGUGCAGUAACAUAUAAGUUGAAUAAUGGAUUACAAUAAAUUUUAUUUAUUAUGAAUAAUUAUUGGAAUAAUAAUUUGAAGGUGGAUUUAAUUGUAAUUUUAUAAAUGUUAUUAAAAUGAUUUAUAGCUCUAUAAUAUGUACACAUCGCCCG
rnacentral:rRNA from 1 species